GGCAAUAUAGUAUAGUGGUUAAAACCAUGGCCUCUGGGGUCAAAGGGCCUGGGUUCAAAUCCCUGCCCUACCA
rnacentral:tRNA from 1 species